rnacentral:rRNA from 1 species
AUUGAACGCUGGCGGCAUGCUUUACACAUGCAAGUCGAACGGCAGCACGGGGCAACCUGGUGGCGAGUGGCGAACGGGUGAGUAAUGCAUCGGAACGUACCGUGUAGAGGGGGAUAACUGUCCGAAAGGAUAGCUAAUACCGCAUACGCCCUGAGGGGGAAAGCUGGGGAUCUUCGGACCUGGCGUUAUACGAGCGGCCGAUGUCCGAUUAGCUAGUUGGUGAGGUAAAGGCUCACCAAGGCGACGAUCGGUAGCGGGUCUGAGAGGACGAUCCGCCACACUGGAACUGAGAGACGGUCCAGACUCCUACGGGAGGCAGCAGUGGGGAAUUUUGGACAAUGGGCGCAAGCCUGAUCCAGCAAUGCCGCGUGAGUGAAGAAGGCCC